AUUGAACGCUGGCGGCAGGCCUAACACAUGCAAGUCGAGCGGCAGCGGGAAAGUAGCUUGCUACUUUUGCCGGCGAGCGGCGGACGGGUGAGUAAUGCCUGGGGAUCUGCCCAGUCGAGGGGGAUAACUACUGGAAACGGUAGCUAAUACCGCAUACGCCCUACGGGGGAAAGCAGGGGACCUUCGGGCCUUGCGCGAUUGGAUGAACCCAGGUGGGAUUAGCUAGUUGGUGAGGUAACGGCUCACCAAGGCGACGAUCCCUAGCUGGUCUGGGAGGAUGAGCAGCCACACUGGAACUGAGACACGGUCCAGACUCCUACGGGAGGCAGCAGUGGGGAAUAUUGCACAAUGGGGGAAACCCUGAUGCAGCCAUGCCGCGUGUGUGAAGAAGGCCUUCGGGUUGUAAAGCACUUUCAGCGAGGAGGAAAGGUCAGUAGCUAAUAUCUGCUGGCUGUGACGUUACUCGCAGAAGAAGCACCGGCUAACUCUGUGCCAGCCGCCGCCGUAA
rnacentral:rRNA from 1 species